UACGAAUAAAGUUUAAGAUGGAAUAUAUCAAAAUGAUAGUAGUAGGUUAGUAGACUUUACAGAUGAUUACUCCCUACACUCUGUCCUUUUCCACAAUUUUUGCAAAAAUUACUUAAAACCUGCAUUUUAAGAUUCUGUAAGUCUAAUAUUACAUGAUUAACUGACUUGCUGUCCUUUGUCAUUUAGAAAGAACAGGGCUUAGGAAAGGAGGAGGCACAGAGUAUAAGUCACAGUCCAAAGUUUGGGGCAAUACCUGGGGAGUAUUGGGACUGGAGGAGGAAGCGCUGGGCUGAGAAAGGCCGGUGGGUGUGACAGUGGACAUGACUCUCCUGCCUUCCCUGCAGUUUUGCCUGAGCGCAUGUCUUUGUUAUGCUCACCAACUCAUCAGCUAGGAGCAGGGCUUGGAAUCUCUGAAAGUUCCUUAGUCUCUCUCUUGGACAUCCCAGGCAUUUCCCCACUGGGGAGUACUGUGGAUUCAUUUUCACACCAAGAAAAUCAACAAAUGCAGCUUGCUGGGGAUGACUGUCCAGCCUGGCAUGCUAAGGAAUUUGGUAACCAAGGGAAUCAAUAACAAUUUGUUUGGGCUUGUACUUUUAAUGAUUUAGACUUUGAACAAGCUCCUUUGGAUUGUAUUUAUUGGUAUAUGAGGCAACUUUUCUCAAAUCCUUUCUCACAUCUGGAAGCCUUUCCCUGGCUUUCUCUCUCUUGACAGGAGGUGGCACCUGAGGUGAAGCUGAGUGGGAGGAAGGAUAGAAGCCCUGGCUGGGACUGCUAGCACCCACCCAAGCCCCUUUGACCCCCAUCUGCUGGCGUCUACUCCGCUUAUCACCCUAGCAUUUCACCCUCACGGGAGAGAUGAUGCUUGAGGGGUAAGGACGGAGAGGCAGACAGGAGCCACAUUACAGAGGACUUGGAAUGCCAGGCUGAGAAUUUUGGACUUUCUUCUGUAAGAGCCACAGGAGCUUUUAAGCAAAGGAGUGACGUGGUCUGGCAUAUAAUUUAGGAGAACCACUCUGGUGCAGACUGGGGAAGACGUUGGUGUGAGGUGAAACCAGCGUGAGGGCCGCCAAAGCUAGGCCAGUUCUGGAGGUCAGAAGUCUGACAGUGCUGGCAGGGCCGCUUUCUCAUGGGGGCUUCAGGAGAGAAUCCUUUUCUUUGCCGUUUCCACCUUCAAGAGGCCACUUGCAUUCCCUGGAGUGUAGCUACUUCUGCUUUCAAGGACAGUCACUCCAACCUGUUUCUAUCUUCAUGUUUCCUUGUUUUUGAUUUGUUCUGUUUUGUUUUGUUUGGCCCUCUUUGCCCACCUGUAUAACCCAGUAUCAUCUCAUAUUAAGACUGUCACGCGCGUUCGUGUGAAGAGACCACCAAACAGACUUUGUAUGAGCAAUAAAGCUUUUUAAUCACCUGGGUGCAGGCGGG
rnacentral:lncRNA from 1 species